rnacentral:lncRNA from 1 species
GAAAGCUGAGCACUCGGACGCACUUUCACAGGCCCUCCUUCACACUGGACUCAUUUGGCUUCUCAGUACUCGGAAGAGUGGACACUUCCACACAAGGUGUCUGUUCCCAGCAUAAUCCUCAUAAAAUGCACAUGAGUUCUUCAAUUCUGUGGUCUUCAGUAUUGCUGAAUGUGAAGACAUAAGUCAUUCAUGGGAGAAAAGGCCAAGAAUUAGAGCACACUGCAAUUAAACAGCCAUAGUUUCUGAGUAUAUUGACUGCAACAAUGUGCCACUGGCUGAUUCUCCUUUUAAUACUCACUAGAAAGAAUCGUUUGAAAGUAAGAAAAUUGUUUCACAUGAAUCAUUAUAUUCUUUGAACUGUUGCUGCAAUUUGAAAUUUUACAAAACUUGUUAAUUUUUACAAUUUGAAAGUUUCUUAAACUAUGUAUGUCGAUUUCCUAAGUUCUGAAAAAAGAAG